GUGCCCACUUUGGCAGCACGUCUACUAAAAUUGGAACAAUACAGAGAUUAGCAUGGCUCUUGUGCAAGGAUGACAUGCCCAUUCGUGAAAUGUUCUGUAUAUUU